UACAAGUGUCAAAACAUAUUUUGUGAGUC
rnacentral:piRNA from 1 species